ACAGAGAACACCAGGGCUCACUGUGUUACGGCCUUUUCAUUCUCCAGCACAGGGUUUUGUGGCUGCCUUCUCACUUAGAAAGAUAAGGUGAGCAAAAUAGGGGGUCAGGUAUGCCCCUUGCUCUGUCCAGGUGGGGCGGACUGAAGGUUGUCAAUUUCAGGAAGACUUGGAGCAAAUAAAGCCCGGGUUCAUUUCUAUUGUCAGCCUCUAGCUACACUUUCUGCAUCCCAAUAAUCCAAGCUAAAAGUCACAUAAUUCCUAUCUGGACUUUCUUUAAGAUCAUACCGUCUCUGCAGUGUACAGAUCUCCUGAGCUCCUAGACAAGGCUGGUGCAUAUUUCAUCUAUAGAAUUCUCUAGAGCACCAGAUUAUCCUGAAUGAUAUCAGAUCUUGAUUGGUACAAACUUGUCUUUUAGAGAUCUCACUGUCCAGCUAACUUUUUCAGUCAUAUCGUUGCAGUGUGUAAAUGUUCCUAUAAAUGACUGCUUGAAGCAUUUCCAAAAAAUAACUAAAAUUUUUAUUUUUUAAUUGGUUCUUUUUAGUUAUAUAUGAGAGUAGAAUCCAUUUUGAUGAAAAUAAUACAAGCAUGGAAUGUUAACUUAUUCUAAUUAGGACCCCAUUCUUGUGGGUGGACACAAUGGUGGGAUUCACUUAGGUAUUUUCAUAUGUGUACAUAGAAAGAUAUGUUAGACUUAUUCUACUGUCUUUCCUAUUCCUAUCCCCCUUCCCUUCCCUUCAUUCCCCUUUGUCUAAUCUACUGAAUUUCUAUUCUCACCUCCAGCUUUACUGUGGUUUAGCUUCCACGUAUCAGCCAAAGCAUUCAACUUUUGGUUAAAAUUUUUAUUUUAAAAUAUAGAAUACAGAAUUUAAUUAAUUUCCCCAAUUGAAUGCAUUAAAAUAAUUAAAUGAUUUUUGUAUAACAGUUUUACUGAAGUGUUAUUGACAUACAUUAGUGCCACAUUUGAAGUUUACAAUCUGACAGGUUUUGAUGUAUCCAAAAUCAUCAACACAGUCAAGACAAUGAGUGACCAUUGAAAGUUACCUCUUGCCCCUUGGUAAUCUUUCCUUCUUGUUCUCUCUCCCCCCUUCAAAACUUUCUCCCACCAUCCUUAGACAACCACUGAUCUGCUUUCUAUCAUUAUUAAUUGGUUUGUAUUUUUAGAAUGUUGUUUAAAUAGAAUUUUAUAGUAUGUCCUCUUUUUAGGUUGGGGUGGGAGGAGUCUGAGUUCUUUAAUUCAGCAUGAGUAUUUUGAUAUUCAUGCUGCCUUUAUAAAUAGCUCAUUUCUUUUUUAUUGCAGAUUAGUGUUCAAGAUUAUGAAUAUACCAAAAAUAUAUAUCCAUUUGCCUGUUUGGGUUGUUUCCCAUUUUGUGACUACUACAAAUAAAUGUCCUAUGAGCAAUCAUUUCCAAGUCUUUGUAUGAGCAAUCAUUUUUAAGUCUUUGUUUGGGCAUAUUCCAUUUUCCCCCCCUGGAUAAAUAUAUAAGAAUGGAUGGCCAUGUCAAGUGUUAGCUGUGUAUUUAAAUAUUUAAGAUAUUUCCCUUUUACAUUUCCAUCAACAGUGUUUGAGAUUUCCAGUUGCUCAACGUCAUUGCCAACAGUAUGGUCCAGCUAAUCUCUUUCACUUUAGCCAUUCUUACAGGGUAAUAUGGUAUCUCAUUAUGGUUUUCGUUUGCAUUUCCCUCUUCACUAAUCAUGUUGAACAGAUGUUCCUGUUACUAUUUGUCAUUCAUACCACUUCUUUGGUAAAGCAUCUGAUCACAUUUUUUGACCAUUUUUAAAAUUGAGUGUUUGUUUGCAUAUUAUAGUUUUGAGUGUGCUUUACAUAGAAAUUAUGGAUAUGAGUCUUUUAUCAGAUAUAUGAUUUAUAAAUAUUUUCUUCCGUGCAGUAAUUUGUCUUUUUACUCUCCUAAAGUGUUUUAGAAAGAGCAGAAGUUUUCAAUUUUGAGAAGCCAAAUUUGAUGUUUUAGUGGACUAUAAUUUGGGUGGUAUAGCUAAAGAAAGCUUUGCUUAGCUCUUCAUCACAAAGAUUUUCCUCCUAUGGUUUCUUCUAGAAGCUUUAUAAUUGUAGGUUCAUUAAUUAGGUCUAGGAUUCAUUUUGAGUCAAUUUUUUGAUGGUGUGAAAUAUAAAUUGUAGUUUAUUUUUUGCAUAUGAAUAUCUAAUUUGUCUGGCACCAUAUGCUGAAAAAAAUUAUAUCCAGGGGACUGUUUGUGUACUUUUGUUGAAAACCAAUUGACCAUUUAUGUGUGAAUCUAUUCCUGGACUCUCUAUUUUGUUUAAUUACUCUAUUCAUUUUUUCUUAAGCCAGUACCACAUGUGCUGAUUUCUGGCAACUUUAAAGUUAGAUAGUGUGAAUUCUUUUCAAGAUUGUUUUGGCUAUUCUAGGUCCUUUGCAAUUCUAUACAAAUAAUGUAAUUUGUCUGUUAGUUCUUCAAAAGCAGUGUGCUAGAAUUUUGAUGAGGGUUGUAUUAAAUCUAUAAAUGAAUUUGGGCAGUGAUAUCAUAAUAAUAUUGAUUCCUUCAACCAUGAAAACAGUAUAACUCUCCAUUUACUUAUUUUGGUAUUCUCUAAUUUCUCUUGUAAGGGUAAAAGAAAUUGAAGUUAAAGUGUAAAAGUUAAAGUGUAAAAGACCGGGCAUUGUAAAGUUUCUAAGCUGCAAGGCCUGAGUUAAAAUGUAAAGGACUAGGUAUUGUUAAGUUCCUAUGCUACAUGCAAAACCUGAAAUUCCUGUAGCUGUUAAGACAAUGCUUGGAACCGCCCAGUAAAUAUUUCCCCUGACCGCCUGGUUGUUUAAUAACUUAAGGGCUCUGUGUGGUCUUGCAUGUAGGCAUCGCAGGGCCUAAACCAAUCAGUUUGAAUGUGUACCCAGCUUUAGAACUGACCUAUCACCCCCGCCCGACCUGUUCCCGCCAAUGUAUGUACUAAUCAAGUCUAAGAAUUGUUGUUUGACUUUCCCGCGGUGUAUGAUGAUUUGUUAAAGGAGACUGUGAUGUAUGUAAAGUCCCGCCCUCCCCAAAAAAGUGUACUUAAGCAGUGCUCAGCCCCUGCUCUGGGCUCUGGGCUGCUCUCUUUUCUCGAGUGGGCACGGAGCCCCAGCAUGCUGGAAUCUCAAUAAACCCCUUUUGCUGUUGCAUGAGUCGCGGUCCCUUGGUGGUCUCUUCCUCCCACGUUCGCCGGACCCUUACAUUUGGUGCGUUGGCCGGGAACAGCGCAUCGCCGGACAAGGAGACCCCAACGGACUCCUUUAGGGGGUAUACAAGUCUGUAAGGUAGAAGCUUCAAAAGAGCAUUAUAUCAAGCUGGUGUUCUAAAGUUGUACGGUAAUUUUAGGCUUAAAAGAAAAACAUGUUGGAGAUUUAUUUAUAUCAUUUGUGUUCUACAACUGGACUUAUUAUCAAUAAGAUAUGUACAGUUCCAUGUUACUUUUUACACUGAGAUACAAUUUAAAUGUAUUUUUAAGUUAAUGAGAGCCUAAUCUGUGUGACGGUUUUAUUGUAAAACACCAAAGUACUUUGCUACUUUUCUAUAAAAGGUUAAAAACUUUCAGCCUUACUUUAAUUCAUGUUUUAGAUGUGAUAUUAUGUUGUGUUAGCUAAUAUCCAUGUAAACUUGAGCAACAAUUUAUAUAGGCUUUGUAAAAUGAUGUCUAAAAAAAGCAAAGAUCAGCUUCAGAACUAUAAUAUUUAAGAUUUAUAAAGAGCCCCGCCUUACUUGAGAUAAGGCUCUAUGUCCAACCUCAUGUGAAAGAGAUUAUAAAAGAAGUAAGCCAGAUUUCAGUACAUUUAAAGUUGUGUCCAAAAGUAGGUUUUUGCCAAGAUUACUAGGAUCUCAAACUGGGAAUUAUGAUGUAUAACCCUGCCAGAAUUCAAGGUAGCUAUUAUAUAAGCUAAAUAUGUUUUUACCCUAGUUAGUUUUGUUUUGUAGUUUGCUUAUAGAUGGUUUAAGGAUUGCCUGUUAAUGUUUUAAAGAGGUACUGCUUUAAGAACACAACCUGGGUCAACUUAAGAUAAGGAGUUAUCACCUACAGGAUAGAGAGAUAGACGUUAAAGCCCAGUGCUCUUAAUAUAAGGCUGUUAACUUAUUUGCUGGAUGUUUAAGAUUAAGUUUUAAAAUUAAAAAUUUGGCUCUUGCCCUCUGAGUCAGUCUGAAUCAGGGAAUAGGGGACUUCUCCAAAGGGCUCUGCAACUCUAGGCCACAUAACCUCCUGAGCAGGGAGAUUAAUGAGACCAGUGGAGGACAGAAGGCCAAUCAGUGCAUUUGCUGUGAAGAGGAGGGUCAUCAGAAAGGGGAGACAUCCCUGAUGCUUCCAAGGGAAGCCACAUGGUCAAGCAAGGCCUGGACCCAUCCUAACGUAAAUGGCACUAGCAGAACUGAGAAGCUGCUGUGAAGUUCCCCGAGGACUCCCAGGGAAACUCAGCUGACUGUUAACAAUAGAUAAGAACAAAAGUCAGUUUGACUUGCUUCAUCUUAAACACUUAGCAAAGACAGUCAAAGCCAAAGCACAGCUGUUCCUGGGCAUUUUAAAUGAUAAUAAUAAUUAAAUGUAACUUCCAAAAAUAAGUAAACUGGAGGCUACAAAAGAGGUUCUCAGACAGAAAUGCCUGAUAACUAUUAAAAAGAACUGCCAGAGUAGUUUUUAGUUUAAGGCCCACAGAUAUUCCUAACCUACACAGGUAGGCUUGGUGUUUGCUAGUAUGGUUAUCCAGCCCUAAGUAACAAAAUUAAAGGUUUCUCUAUUAGACACAGAGGUCAUACUAGUAAAAAGGAUUUUACAAGAUCAGAUGGCAUUAAAUUAUUAGACUAUAUCUUAAAGGAAAGAACAUCUGUAAACCUAAAUGUUAAUUGUUGUGUUUACAUCCCUAACAUUUCUGGCAAUGUGACAAAUAUCCUUAAAGAUUUACAUGCUCAGAUAGAAGCCAUGUCCUCAGCAACUUUGUCAUGGAAACAAUAUCUUAGCUCCUGGUUCUUGGUACUUCCUGGUGGAAAACAUUGUUAGUCUUUGUCUUGGCCAUUGUACUCAUUGGCAUAUUCCUGUGCUGUGACAUUUAUUGCUGCAUCAAUAUGGUUCCAGUACUAAUGAAUUCUUGUUUCUCUUAUAGACCACCCAUCACUCAAAUGGCCCUCCAGCCUAUUACUUCUCAAUUGGACUUUUAUCAUGGACCACUCGAUAGACCCAAUAUUUUUUAAGGGGGACUCCAAACUGCUUGCCCCACACCAUCCCUUUUCAGCCUGAAGAAGCCAGAAAGAUCCUCUUCGCCCCCCUUCCUUACAGCAGUAAGGAGUUCCCAAAUUAGAGGGGGGGGGGAAUGAAGCCAGAUUUAAAGUUAGGUAGUCAGUGUAGUUAGAUAAAUCGGGGUCUAAUACCAAGUAAAAUCUAAAAUGGAGGCCAUGCAGAAAAUGAUUCCAGGGAACACAAAACAACUCAUGAAAUAUAAAACCCUUCAAUAAUUGUGAUUCAUUACUUUUAAGAUUAAAAGUAGUCAGAAAAAUGAGUGGGGAAUGUAAGGGUAAAAGAAAUUGAAGUUAAAGUGUAAAAGACCGGGCAUUGUAAAGUUUCUAAGCUGCAAGGCCUGAGUUAAAAUGUAAAGGACUAGGUAUUGUUAAGUUCCUAUGCUACAUGCAAAACCUGAAAUUCCUGUAGCUGUUAAGACAAUACUCAAACUGCCCAGUAAAUAUUUCCCCUGACCGCCUGGUUGUUUAAUAACUUAAGGGCUCUGUGUGGUCUUGCAUGUAGGCAUCGCAGGGCCUAAACCAAUCAGUUUGAAUGUGUACCCAGCUUUAGAACUGACCUAUCACCCCCGCCCGACCUGUUCCCGCCAAUGUAUGUACUAAUCAAGUCUAAGAAUUGUUGUUUGACUUUCCCGCGGUGUAUGAUGAUUUGUUAAAGGAGACUGUGAUGUAUGUAAAGUCCCACCCUCCCCAAAAAGUGUACUUAAACAUUGCACAACCCCUGCUCUGGGCUCUGGGCUGCUCUCUUUUCUCGAGUGGGCACAGAACCCCAGCAUGCUGGAAUCUCAAUAAACCCCUUUUGUUGUUGCA